rnacentral:lncRNA from 1 species
AUGCCAUCCAGUUGGUGAAGCAUACACACAGCUAACUCCAUGGAGAAGGGCUGUCUUCGCUAGUGAAUGGGUACUUUGACUUUUUAAUUUGGCUUCCUUGCAGGAAGGUCACAAUGGAAUCCCAAGUUCAUCCACAAAGGGACCUCCUAAAAGGCCCCAUUUAAACCAAGCUGGGGAACCAGUUUCUCCACUUCAAGGACUCCCUCCUUCUGAAGGGAUCAGCCUGGGCUCCACAGUAUGUCCUGAAACAUCGGUCCCAUUAGCUCAGGGAGAGAUGUCCAGCAACCCAGACACAUCCGUCAACGUCAAUGUGCACUGUACUUUUACCAUGACCCUGGAAGUGAAAAGGGGAGCAUCUAUGCCUGUCCUCAGAGCCCUGCUGAGAGACAAGCUCCUGCAGCAAUUAGAAGGUGCACAGCUCAGGUAUGAUUUUGUGCUGACCC